AAGCGGAUUACACACCACCCCGAGCUGAGGAGCGUCAUCAAUGAGCAGGAUGAAGAUGUGCUGAGCUACGUGAUUGGCUUGGAGGUCAAGGAGCUCAGCUGUGGCCAGGGGCAGUGCAGGAUACGCUUUUGCUUCCGGCAGAACCCCUACUUCCGCAAUGACGAGAUCUGCAAGGAUUACUGUCGGAGCGUGCGUGGAUACAGGGCUGCACGUUCCAGCACCAUCCAGUGGUUCUGUGAUUGUGACGGUGAUCCACCCGGCUACAGCCCGGGCUCCUGCCCACCCAGCUUCUUGGAUUGGCUGACGAACCAUGCUGUCCCGGGCACCAACAGCAUUGCCAAGAUCAUCUGCGAGGACCUGUGGCUCAAUCCCCUGCUGUACUAUCCCAGGGAGGAUGUCAGCUUCACGGGAACCGUGCCAGAAGUGGGGUCUGUGCAGGAGGUGGAGCAAGAUGAGGAGGAGGAGGAGGAGGAGGAGGAAGAAGAAGACAACUGAAAUUCCCAGUGGCCCACACAGAGAAUGAGACGUCCCUCAUUGCCAGCCUGUGGGCGUGCCUGGUUUCUGACGGUGGUGCCCCUUCACACCCCUCAGUCCCCACCCCUGGGAAAUGGGGAAGGGCCUGCUGUCUCCACAGCCACUGGGAACACACUGUGUGAGUGUAAA